rnacentral:rRNA from 1 species
GCUCAGUAACACGUCUUAAAACAAGCCCUUAGGACUGGGAUAACCUUGGGAAACUGACGCUAAUACCAGAUGGGGGAUGGAUGCUGGAAUGCACCAUCCUUUAAAGGCAACACCUAAGGAUGAGUCGGCGGCGGAUUAGGUUGUUGGUGAGGUAAUGGCUCACCAAGCCAAAGAUCCGUACGGGCCAUGAGAGUGGUAGCCCGGAGAAGGACACUGAGAAACUGGUCCUAGCCCUACGGGGUGCAGCAGGCGCGAAAACUUUACAAUGCACGAAAGUGUGAUAAGGGAAUCCUAAGUGCUCAUACACAGUAUGGGCUUUUGCCAAGGGUAAAUACCUUGGAGAAUAAGUGGUGGGUAAGACUGGUGUCAGCAGCCGCGGUAACCCCAGCGCCACAAGUGGGAGCCACAAUUAUUUGGCCUAAAGCGUCCGUAGCUGGCCUAGUAAAUCUUUUGUGAAAUCGGAAAGCUUAACCUUUUCGGCGUGCAGGAGACACUUGCUUGGCUUGAGACCGGGAGGGGUAAGGAGUAUUUCUAGGGGAACCGGUAAAAUGGGGAUAAUCCUAGAAAGACUACCCUGUGGCGAAGGCGCCUUUACCAGUACGGGUUUUGACCGUGGAGGGACGAAAGGCUUAGGGGGGCCGAACCGGAAUUAGAUACCCGAGUAAGCCUAGCAGGUAACCGCUGGCGGUCUAAGUGGUUGUAUUCAUCCACGGGAA